AGGACCAAUCUUAAUUUUGAAAGAGUAGAAGCCCAACUUAAGGCAUGCCACUGCAGGAUCAUAUUUUCUAGGGCAAAGCCUUCUGUGUUGGCAUUGUCUAUCAUUGCUUUGGAGGUCCAGGCACUGAAGUAUGUGGAGUUAACAGAAGGAAUAGAAUGUAUUCAAAAACAUUCCAAGAUAAAUGGCUGAGAUUUGACCUUCUGGCAAGAGCUUGUAUCCAAGUGUCUAAAUGAAUAUUCAUCAAACAAGUGUUCCAAACCCAAUGUUCAGAAGUUAAAAUGGAUUGUGUCUGGAUGCACUGCAUGGCAA